CGCGGCCGGAAGCGGCGCGCCUGAGGCCCAGUGCGCAGGCGCCUGCGUCGCCUUGGUCUAUAUAAGGAAGGUCCGCCAUCGCCGUCGUUCUUUCGUUCCUGAGACGCCCUGGUGUCCCUUUUGUGUGCGAUGUCUCGUCCACGCGGGAGUUAUUUGCGGAUGGUUGGCUUGAUGAAGCGACACGGAGCAGGGGUUGGAGGGAUAGAAGACGGCACCUUUGCGCCUCCAGGGAGAUGAGAGAAUACAUCUGCGGUCUUCGACCUCCUAAUCUCUUCAAGGUUUGCUGACAGCCAAGACGAGGUUUUGAAUGGAGAAAGAAUCCGGAAGUCAGACAGGAUUGGCCUGAGGGAGCCAUGGAUGCCAGUGUGUGGAUCUGCUCUUGCUUGAUUUCAGUGUCCUGAAACCGGCACUUCUCUGGAGCACAGACCUUGAUCAGCGCCGCUUCCUGCUGGCCCUGUUCCAUGAGGACCAAGGGCUAUGUAUAAUCCAAAAGGAGUUUUCUUUCUAGACUUGGGUAUGGUAUAGUGUGUGCUUUCACUGGAAAUACUAAAUAACAGACACCUUUGGCCUCCUGUCUGUAGAAAUAAAAAUCUGACCAGGUAACUUA